rnacentral:tRNA from 1 species
GGGGGUAUGGUGAAGCUGGAAUCACGACAGACCUGCAAUCUGUAGUCCUCGGUUCAACCCCGGGUAUCUCCA